rnacentral:lncRNA from 1 species
UCUGAGCAGGAAAGUGGACCGGGAACAGCGCAUUUCCUGCUUCGCCGGUGCAAACCCCAGGCGGGGCCAAGCGGGAACGAGGAUACCGUCGAGGAGUCGCCGGGUACCAGGGCGGGGUUCGGAGACCGCCAAGAGGGGAGUACUGGGCACCAGGAAGGGAUGCAGGCGGAGGGAAAGACAGGGGGCGUGAAAGUAAAAUUAAUGUUCCAUUGUUGCGGAGAACGAACGUCCCCGGAGCCACUCUCGCAGUCUCGCUUUUCGGAAGAAGAGCCGGUGUAGCAGAGGUUGCAAGGUCUGGGUCGCACCUCCCGGGCCGGGGGGCGCGCGGCGCCGGCCACGGCUGGACCGGUGACCGCUAUCUUCCCGGCCACUCCUUCCUCUUCACCAAUCCCCUCCCGCCCGCGACCUUCGACCUCCAUCCUGGACCCUCGGUGUACUGGCCUCGGGACAGGGAGGAGACGCGAAAGGUAGCAAGCGGGAGCGGCGCCGCCGCCCCAGUGGGCGCCGAGGCACAAGGUGCCCAUCGGCGUCGUUGGGCUGCGUGGCCCUACCUGGGAAGUGCUGAGCCCUGGACUGUGCUCCGCCGCCGCAGACCACCUCCCUCUCGGUUCUGGGAGGCAGCCGACCCUGAACGAUUUAUAAAUGCAAAGGCCUUAAUGUUGUUCUUUUUUUUUUCCCCCCCCCCUAGGGACACCAAUGUCUAUUCAUCCGAGGGUCGCACCUGAGUUUUUCCUGGGUUUGCUGCGCGCACUCUCCUCCCCUCCCCCACGAGCUUGCUCUUUAGUGCCACCUCAGAUCUGCCUGGGUGCUCUGGGAUCCUUCCCGAAUGACUUGAGUGUCCUUUGUCCGGCUCCCGCUUCCCGAGCAUCAAAAACACAAAAGACUACCGGAAAUCACCCAGCCUUUGCCUGUUCACUCAGAGGCCCUAGGAAAAGCUUGGCCCUGAUUCCUUCAGGUCUGAGCCACCGUUUGUCACCUACCCGAAUUAAUUUCUGCGCCCGCUGGCCAAAGACCCCAAGUGGUAACAGGCACAGCUUCUUGCUACAUUAGUUGCUUCCUCGCCCAGCCUUUGGAACUGGAGUCCGGCCUGCGAAGCCGGGGAGUAUAAGCGCAAUCAGUAGCCACGAGCCCAGAAUUCCAGCACUGUGCAUUGCAAAUGUUCACUGCCGGCUCCAGAGCUGGUGGUGUACAAGGCUCUCACUCGUGAAACUUGUCCCUCUACCCGCCCCCACCCCCGCCCCAGUAUAUCUCCCGGGUUGAGAAAAGCAAGGCUUGCAGGAAGCCACUCCGGAUGUUUGCUUCUUUACAUGUGGCAUUUGUGGCUGGCUCCGAUAACGUCCAGAGCUUGGCUUCUAACACUGCGUUUAGUAGAGAUUGAAAUACGAGUCCGCACACAAAGCGCACCAGUUUGGGGCGCCGCGGUCGCCAGUACUCCCCCUCACCCCCCAAAAAAUAUGUUAAGAGAAUGAUUAAAAGAAAUCAAACCUAGGUAACUAGUAUGUAAAAGGCGACUGGUCUUGGAAAGGCACCACAAUUCUUUUUUGGUAAAUUUAAGUAACUGCUACGUUAUGACUCCCAAGGAGGGUGUAUUAAGAAAUAAAGAAAGUGCCCAAAUCUGAAGCUCCAACUCCAUUUUAGGGAUGUGUUCUCUCACUUGCUUUCCCAGUAACCUUAUCUGUCAAAAAUCACUGGUUACUCUCCAGGAUCGGGUACAAAUAAUGAUGGAAACCCUUAGAUUUUCUUCUUCCAUCAGUUUCCCAACGUUAAGAUCAGGAGGGUGAACAAGGAUAAAACUGCUCUUGUACUUUUUCUGGAA